rnacentral:tRNA from 2 species
GGGCGGUUAGCUCAGUUGGUUAGAGCACCGGCUUUACACGCCGGGUGUCACAGGUUCGAGUCCUGUACCGCCCACCA